UACGUAGGUGGCAAGCGUUGUUCGGAAUUAUUGGGCGUAAAGGGCGCGUAGGCGGUUUGUUAAGUCAGUUGUGAAAGCCCGGGGCUCAACCCCGGAGAGUCGACUGAUACUGGCAGACUAGAGUACGGAAGAGGUAGCUGGAAUUCCCGGUGUAGCGGUGAAAUGCGUAGAUAUCGUAAGGAAGACCAGUGGCGAAGGCGGGUCUCUGGACAGUUCCUGACGCUGAGGCACGAAGGCCAGGGGAGCAAACGGG
rnacentral:rRNA from 1 species